AUGAUUCGAGCAGCAUCAGAUGAUGUGCGCUUCCUUCUCAAUAUACAAGAGAAAAUGAUGGAGAAGUUGAGCAAAGUAUCUUCAUGGCGUCUGGCAGUACAAAGUGAGCUAUACUGUAGGUGUUUUUGCAUAAAUGACAACCAACAUGAAGAUUGGCCGCCUCUUGCAACUGUCCCUGAUGACAUUGAAGCUGAAGCUUGUGUUCCUGAGGUAGAUAUCCUUUCGCUCUUGGUUGUGCCUCCUGGAAAAAUGGGAUGUAUUAUUGGUAGAAAAGGAUCAUCAAUAAUUAUUGUGAAAGAAUCUUGCAAGUAA
rnacentral:rRNA from 1 species